CGCGAACCAAAAGAGCCCUAAGAGUUUUGGGGGCUAGAGUAUGAUUGAACACCUCAGGUUCCUAUAUAUCACAAAGCAAUCCACAUGUAGUGGCGUUACAUAUGUAGCUACAAGAACAAGUUCAAUGCAUAGCCCCUACCACAAAAGCAACGGGGCCAUGCAGAAUUCAAAUUUAGAUUAGUGGAGGAUAAUUGAAAACUUGGACAAAUUUUCUUCUUCUUUAUUCUAGCAAGGUUAUGCCUAUGGCCAACUCAAAACAAUUGAACCAAGACUUGGUUUUUGCCAUCA
rnacentral:lncRNA from 1 species